ACGCUCGACACCUACGGGAGGCAGCAGUGAGGAAUAUUGGUCAAUGGGCGCAGGCCUGAACCAGCCAAGUAGCGUGAAGGAUGACUGCCCUAUGGGUUGUAAACUUCUUUUAUAUGGGAAUAAAGUUUUCCACGUGUGGAAUUUUGUAUGUACCAUAUGAAUAAGGAUCGGCUAACUCCGUGCCACAGCCGCGGUAAUCUGAGGCGGGCUGGCAAGGC
rnacentral:rRNA from 1 species